rnacentral:misc_RNA from 1 species
UCCCGGUUGGCCCGGGCAGUCUCGCGUGAAAAAUUCAACACACGACAAGGGUUUCGCUCGUUGAUGGACUUAACCAAACAUCUCACGACACGAGCUGAGGACGGCCAUGCAACACCUGUCACCUGGUUCCCGAAGGCACCCCUCUGUUUCCAGAGGGUUCCAGGGAUGUCAAGCCUUGGUAAGGUUCUUCGCGUAUCGUCGAAUUAAACCACAUGCUCCACCGCUUGUGCGGGUCCCCGUCAAUUCCUUUGAGUUUUAAGCUUGCGCUCGUACUCCCCAGGCGGGAUGCUUAACGCGUUAGCUUCUCAGCACAGAGGGUCGAUACUCCAUACUAAUAGCAUCCAUCGUUUACGGCGUGGACUAC